rnacentral:misc_RNA from 1 species
UCUCCGUUGGUGAACCAGCGGAGGGAUCAUUGCCGAGUUAAAGACUCCAAACUAUCGCGAACUUACUACGUAGUGCCUCGGUGGGCGGCUCCAGGGCGGAGCCUCUCGCCCCCGCAGGGGGUGCCCGCCAGAGGACCACCAAACAUUGUCGUCUCUAGUGUACUCAGAGUGCCUGCGUAAGCGGGAUUUAAACUAUCAAAACUUUCAACAAUGGAUCUCUUGGCUCUGGCAUCGAUGAAGAACGCAGC